CAGUCGCCGCGGUAAUACGAAGGGUGCAAGCGUUAAUCGGAAUUACUGGGCGUAAAGCGUGCGUAGGCGGUUUGUUAAGUCUGUUGUGAAAUCCCCGGGCUCAACCUGGGAAUGGCAAUGGAUACUGGCAAGCUAGAGUGUGUCAGAGGAUGGUGGAAUUCCCGGUGUAGCGGUGAAAUGCGUAGAGAUCGGGAGGAACAUCAGUGGCGAAGGCGGCCAUCUGGGACAACACUGACGCUGAGGCACGAAAGCGUGGGGAGCAAACAGGAUUAGAGACCCCUGUAGUCCCUGUCUCUUAUAC
rnacentral:rRNA from 1 species